AUUCCAGCUCCAAUAGCGUAUUUUUAAGUUGUUGCAGUUAAAAAGCUCGUAGUUGGACUUCUGUGUGGGACGUUGGUCGUGCCUCCUUAAUCGGUGUGCUGACUGAUGGCCUACACUUCCUGAGUGAUUGUGUGCGGUUGUACCUUUACGGGUCGGCCGUACGCGCACUCUCAUUUACUGUGAAAAAAUCGGAGCGUUCAAAGCAGGCAUUUGCUGUGAACACAUUAGCAUGGAAUAAUAAGAUAGGACUUGUUCUUAUUUUUGUUGGUUCUUGAGGAACAAGUAAUGAUUGAUAGGGACGAUUGGGGUGCUAGUAUUCUAUGGCCAGAGGUGAAAUUCUUUGGAUUCAUGGAAGACUAACUAAUGCGAAAGCAUUCACCAAGUGCGUCCUCUUUAAUCAAGAACGAAAGUAGAGGGAUCGAAGAUGAUCAGAUACCGUCGUAGUCUCUACCGUAAACGAUGCCGACUUGGGAUUGGUACACGUUG
rnacentral:rRNA from 1 species